AGAAGAGCCAAAAUUCAGAAGCUCAAAUACUUUAUUAAAAUAUUUUACAACAAUAAACAGGUUUCUUGUACUUCAGUAUCUCCCCUACAGUUUGAUUUUAAAGUCAUGUUUCAGCAAAUUUUCAAUAUUCAGUUAAUAUAUUGGCCUGAAGUGAUUUCUUUGGAGGUUUAUGAAAAAAGUGAAAGGACAAGCUUACUGGCAAAACUAUAUUUACCUUUACCUAACUACACAGAGCUGAAAGGCAAAACCGUUUUGCAAUAUGUAGAGUUUAGCUCUGAUAAGCUGGUCAUGCCUGCCGAUGGAGAAACAGGAAGCAAUGUGCCUUUUCUUCUUGAGGGAAAUGGAACUGAAGAACUCUGUCUUUUGACAUCAGGAAAACUUAGCUAUUCUCUAUCAUGGAGCUUAGAUGAAAAUGGUCUUCCUCUGAUACCUAUGCCACAAUCAUUAAGAUCUUCUUACUGCAGUAUGUUAAGGAAUGUAGAUGCAAGAAGUGUUCCUGGAAUUCCAUGGCUCAUGGAUGAACAGAAGCUUUUUGAAUGGGCAAAUGAAGUCAGAAUUGAUCCAAAUAAUCCAGAAUAUUCUGAUUUAAUGGAAUCU
rnacentral:lncRNA from 1 species